GCGAACGGGUGAGUAAUGCGUGACCGACCUGCCCCAUGCACCGGAAUAGCUCCUGGAAACGGGUGGUAAUGCCGGAUGUUCCACAUGAGCGCAUGCGAGUGUGGGAAAGGCUUUUUGCGGCAUGGGAUGGGGUCGCGUCCUAUCAGCUUGUUGGUGGGGUAACGGCCUACCAAGGCGUUGACGGGUAGCCGGCCUGAGAGGGCGACCGGCCACAUUGGGACUGAGAUACGGCCCAGACUCCUACGGGAGGCAGCAGUGGGGAAUAUUGCACAAUGGGCGCAAGCCUGAUGCAGCGACGCCGCGUGCGGGAUGGAGGCCUUCGGGUUGUAAACCGCUUUUGUUCAAGGGCAAGGCACGGUUUCGGCCGUGUUGAGUGGAUUGUUCGAAUAAGCACCGGCUAACUACGUGCCAGCAGCCGCGGUAAUACGUAGGGUGCAAGCGUUAUCCGGAUUUAUUGGGCGUAAAGGGCUCGUAGGCGGUUCGUCGCGUCCGGUGUGAAAGUCCAUCGCUUAACGGUGGAUCCGCGCCGGGUACGGGCGGGCUUGAGUGC
rnacentral:rRNA from 1 species